rnacentral:rRNA from 1 species
AGUGAACGCUGGCGGUAGGCCUAACACAUGCAAGUCGAACGGCAGCACAGUAAGGGCUUGCUCUUACGGGUGGCGAGUGGCGGACGGGUGAGGAAUACAUCGGAAUCUACUUUUUCGUGGGGGGUAACGUAGGGAAACUUACGCUAAUACCGCAUACGACCUACGGGUGAAAGCAGGGGAUCUUCGGACCUUGCGCGAUUGAAUGAGCCGAUGUCGGAUUAGCUAGUUGGCGGGGUAAAGGCCCACCAAGGCGACGAUCCGUAGCUGGUCUGAGAGGAUGAUCAGCCACACUGGAACUGAGACACGGUCCAGACUCCUACGGGAGGCAGCAGUGGGGAAUAUUGGACAAUGGGCGCAAGCCUGAUCCAGCCAUACCGCGUGGGUGAAGAAGGCCUUCGGGUUGUAAAGCCCUUUUGUUGGGAAAGAAAAGCAGCAGGUUAAUACCCCGCUGUUCUGACGGUACCCAAAGAAUAAGCACCGGCUAACUUCGUG